rnacentral:misc_RNA from 1 species
UAUAGCCUUGAUAACUUCAACCCCUGAUUGGAGGAUUUCUCUUGUUUCUACUUCACAAGUGCUGCAUAGUAGAAAAACGAUGCUGCCUCUUCUCUGGCUUUGUACCAAAUUUCUGAAUUCCUAAGCUGGCAAGUAGCCGUUGCUCCGGAACUCUGUAAGACCAACUCUUAGCUACAAAUGUUUUACUAGUUGUGUUCUUUACAUUCAGUGAAAGUUCAGAUCAGAACUGUCAUUUAAGCUGUUGAAUUAAGACAGGAGCAGCUGAUAUAGGAAGAAAUGAGUUGAUUCUUCUGUUGAUAUAUGAGUUGUUUGGUUGAUUCUCUUUUCUCAUGUCUGUUUGAAUAG